AGCAGUCGCCGCGGUAAUACAGAGGGUGCGAGCGUUAAUCGGAUUUACUGGGCGUAAAGCGUGCGUAGGCGGCUUUUUAAGUCGGAUGUGAAAUCCCUGAGCUUAACUUAGGAAUUGCAUUCGAUACUGGGAAGCUAGAGUAUGGGAGAGGAUGGUAGAAUUCCAGGUGUAGCGGUGAAAUGCGUAGAAAUCUGGAGGAAUACCGAUGGCGAAGGCAGCCAUCUGGCCUAAUACUGACGCUGAGGUACGAAAGCAUGGGGAGCAAACAGGAUUAGAUACCCCUGUAGUCCCUGUCUCUUAUAC
rnacentral:rRNA from 1 species